rnacentral:lncRNA from 12 species
CUUAUAGAUAUGCACAUUAAUAAAAGAUGUAUUUUAUUAUUCUUGUACACCAAUGGACUAUACUAUAAAGACUUUCCUUGGGAUACAUACAACCCAUUCUGCAGACUACUGCCAAUUGAAGAAAAUGCUUCUUAUCUUGGUUCUAUUCUGCACCUGCUUCAGAUGGGACCUGUCCCACAUGGUUGCUGAGAGCCUGUGCCUCUGCUACUAUUACACAAGGCCUUUAUGUAUCUGGUUUGAAUCGGCUCACAAUCGGCUCAAAUCUACAAUCUCCCUCUGGGUCCACAGCCAUUUUUUAAUAUAUCUGCAUACCUUUUUUAGAGUAGGAGAAUUUCAUUGGCUUUAUGCCACCAUUCUCCUACAGAAGUAAGCAUUGAUGGCGGUGGUCAGAUGUAGGAUCACUCUUAUAAGUACAGGAGAUUAAGAAAGGAUGAAGUAAAAUUUUUCAAGCAAAAUUUUCAGUAAAAUUUUGUCUUAUUCUCUCAUGUCUAUACCAAUGAUGCUGCUAUUUCUACUUUGACAAGUUCUCUGGAUAUCCCCUGAUGUUCUUUGCCAGAGACUGGCUGUACACACUGCUAGAUGGUGAAAGCAUGAUGCAAGGUACUACAUGAACAUCGUGUAUUUCCUUCUUUUUUUAAGAUUUUUUUUAAUUUAUUUUUUAUUGGUGUUCAAUUUACUAACAUACAGAAUAACCCCCAGUGCCCGUCACCCAUUCACUCCCACCCCCCGCCCUCCUCCCCUUCUACCACCCCUAGUUCGUUUCCCAGAGUUAGCAGUCUUUACGUUCUGUCUCCCUUUCUGAUAUUUCCCACACAUUUCUUCUCCCUUCCCUUAUAUUCCCUUUCGCUAUUAUUUAUAUUCCCCAAAUGAAUGAGAGCAUAUAAUGUUUGUCCUUCUCCGACUGACUUACUUCACUCAGCAUAAUACCCUCCAGUUCCAUCCACGUUGAAGCAAAUGGUGGGUAUUUGUCGUUUCUAAUAGCUGAGUAAUAUUCCAUUGUAUACAUAAACCACAUCUUCUUUGUCCAUUCAUCUUUCGUUGGACACCGAGGCUCCUUCCACAGUUUGGCUAUCGUGGCCAUUGCUGCUAUAAACAUCGGGGUGCAGGUGUCCUGGCGUUUCACUGCAUCUGUAUCUUUGGGGUAAAUCCCCAACAGUGCAAUUGCUGGGUUGUAGGGCAGAUCUAUUUUUAACUGUUUGAGGAACCUCCACACAGUUUUCCAGAGUGGCUGCACCAGUUCACAUUCCCACCAACAGUGUAAGAGGGUUCCCUUUUCUCCGCAUCCCCUCCAACAUUUGUUGUUUCCUGCCUUGUUAAUUUGCCCCAUUCUCACCAGUGUGAGGUGGUAUCUCAUUGUGGUUUUGAUUUGUAUUUCCCUGAUGGCAAGUGAUGCAGAGCAUUUUCUCAUAUGCAUGUUGGCCCAUGUCUAUGUCUUCCUCUGUGAGAUUUCUGUUCAUGUCUUUUGCCCAUUUCAUGAUUGGAUUGUUUGUUUCUUUGGUGUUGAGUUUAAUAAGUUCUUUAUAGAUCUUGGAAACUAGCCCUUUAUCUGAUAUGUCAUUUGCAGUCAACAAAACUAAAAGACAACCUACAGAAUGGGAGAAGAUAUUUUUUUAAGAUUUUACUUAUUCAUGAGAGACACAGAGAGGCAGAGACAUAGGCAGAGGAGCCUCCCCACAUGGAGCCCAAUGCAGGACUCGAUCUCAGGACUCCGGGAUCACAACCUGAACCAAAACCAGAUGCUCAACUACUGAGCCACCUGGGUGUCCCAACGUCAUGUAUUUCAAGAGAGACUCCUUUAAGCCUCCCUCUGACAUUUUUCCCACAGUGUAAAGAGGGCUCAGUGCAUCGUACACUCCAGCUCUCUUCCAUUUUUCUAGGUUAAAUAGUUCCAUUUUAAUUUGGAGAUGAGUGUAGGAGUAUAUUAAACCAAGCACCGAGGUUCUUCCUGCUUGAACAUAAAUAUUCAAACUUAAAAGUUUCCUAGUUCUUGUCUCUGGUGUCAUUUUAACACCCUCCUCUGAGAAAAAUCCCUGCAUCAAAAAGAAGAAGACUAGGGAAGUAAAAUGCAUCAAUUAAUAGCUCUUCAUCACAUGGGCACACACACACACACACACACACACACCUAAAUUCAGAUUUUUGUAAAUGUAAUUGAAGAUUUAAUUGCAAUCUAACUCAGAAUUUUCUACAACCCAUGAAGGCAGGAGGCUGUACUAUGCAUAAUGAGUAAAAUAAAAAUUCUAAUGAAUACUACCUUAAAAGGGGU